rnacentral:rRNA from 1 species
AAUUUUGGACAAUGGGGGAAACCCUGAUCCAGCCAUCCCGCGUGUAUGAUGAAGGCCUUCGGGUUGUAAAGUACUUUUGGCAGAGAAGAAAAGGUAUCUCCUAAUACGAGAUACUGCUGACGGUAUCUGCAGAAUAAGCACCGGCUAACUACUUGCUUGCAGCCGCGGUAAUAAGUAGGGUGCAAGCUGUAAUCGGAAUUACUGGGCGUAAAACGGGUGUAGGAGGUUCAGAAAGAAAGAUGUGGAAUACCAGGGCUCAACCUUGGAACUGCAUUUUUAACUGCCGAGCUAGAGUAUGUCAGAGGGGGGUAGAAUUCCACGUGGAGCAGUGAAAUGCGUAGAUAUGUGGAGGAAUACCGAUGGCGAAGGCAGCCCCCUGGGAUAAUACUGACGCUCAGACACGAAAGCGUGGGGAGCAAACAGG